rnacentral:rRNA from 1 species
CAGUCGCCGCGGUAAUACGUAGGGGGCGAGCGUUGUCCUAAGUUACUGGGCGUAAAGAGCGCGUAGGCUGGUCUUUAAGUGAGUGGUGAAAGGUUCGGGCUCAACCCGGACACUGCCUUUCAUACUGGGGACCUUGAGUGUGGGAGAGGCGAGUGGAAUGGUCGGUGUAGCGGUGAAAUGCGUAGAUAUCGAUCGGAACACCCAUGGCGAAGGCAGCUCGCUGGCCUAACUCUGACGCUGAGGCGCGAAAGCGUGGGGAGCAAAUGGGAUUAGAUACCCGCGUAGUCCCUGUCUCUUAUAC